rnacentral:rRNA from 1 species
UACGAAGGGGGCUAGCGUUGCUCGGAAUCACUGGGCGUAAAGCGCACGUAGGCGGCUUGUUAAGUCAGGGGUGAAAUCCUGGAGCUCAACUCCAGAACUGCCUUUGAUACUGGCGAGCUUGAGUUCGGGAGAGGUGAGUGGAACUGCGAGUGUAGAGGUGAAAUUCGUAGAUAUUCGCAAGAACACCAGUGGCGAAGGCGGCUUACUGGUCCGGUUCUGACGCUGAGGCGCGAAAGCGUGGGGAGCAAACAGG